GCCCAUGACAUUGUUGUACACCGCUCGCAGCCCUUGCUUUUGUGUGGACUGAUCUGACCGAGACUGGAAACCUGGAGAGUGUUACCCAAAUAAUCAAUCAGUGUUCGUCUGCUUCGCCUUCUUUUCUUUUCUUCUCUCUUCUCUUCUAUUUAUGCUUGUUUCCAUACCCUUUAUCUUUAUUUGUAUUUCCGCAAUUUAAAAAGCGCAAACAAGUUUUAGGGUUUGAAGGAAGUAGGUAUUAGUGAAGUGGAAGAGGCAUGGCAAAAGAGGGACCCAACUGGGACGGAUUGCUCAAGUGGAGCCUUGCCCAUUCUGAUGGGACUGCUCCAAAUCGCAAUCUCAGUGAGGAGGAUAGAAGAUGGUUUACGGAAGCUAUGCAAUCACAGAGCGUUGAUGUGAUAAAGAGAAUGAAGGAGAUAACUCUUGUGAUGCAAACCCCAGAACAAGUGUUGGAAUCUCAAGGAGUUACUCCUGCUGAUAUUGAAGAUUUGUUGGAUGAGCUGCAAGAACAUGUUGAGUCCAUUGACAUGGCCAAUGAUCUUCAUUCGAUAGGAGGUUUGGUCCCUCUCCUUGGUUUUCUGAAGAACACCCAUGCUAGUGUUCGAGCAAAGGCUGCUGAAGUUGUAACCACCAUUGUCCAGAACAACCCUAGGAGUCAGCAAAUGGUUAUGGAAGCAAAUGGUUUUGAGCCUCUGCUUUCUAAUUUCACGUCAGAUCCUGAUGUGACUGUAAGAACCAAAGCGCUAGGUGCAAUAUCAUCUUUAGUCCGACAUAACAAACCGGGUAUUGCUGCCUUUCAUCUAGGAAAUGGUUUUGCAGCUCUGAGAGAUGCCCUGGGUUCUGAGAAUGUGAGAUUUCAAAGGAAAGCAUUGAACUUGAUCCACUACCUACUGCAUGAGAAUAGUUCAGAUUGCAGCAUAGUCAGCCAGCUGGGAUUCCCACGCAUAAUGUUGCACCUUGCCUCAAGUGAAGAUGCAGAAGUACGAGAAGCUGCCCUUCGUUGCCUUCUUGAACUUGCUCGAAACAAAAUAGAUGGGAACACUGGUAGAUUAGGCGAGGAUGAUGAAAUAUUGAAGCAACUCCUUGAAGAACGGAUUAAUGGUAUCAGCCUGAUGUCACCUGAUGAGCUUGGGGCAGCUAUGGAGGAAAGACAGCUUGUAGACACCCUCUGGGACACUUGCUACAAUGAACCAUCAUCUCUACAUGAUAAGGGGCUUCUUGUACUCCCUGGAGAAGAUUCACCUCCUCCUGAUGUUGCCAGCAAGCAUUUUGAACCUCCCCUUAGAGCUCGGGCUGCUAGACCUGAUGCUAAUAAAAAUUCCAGUACUGAAAAUAAACAAACCCCCUUAUUAUUAGGAUUGGGUCCUGCAUCAGAGGCUGCAAAUGUCCAAGGGACCUCUAGUGGUGAAAUCAAUGCUGAUGAACAACAGAACACCUCUACAUAAUGCUGAGGCAGUUUCCAAGGUUUUUAAGCAAUUUUUUUUUUGGUGCCCUUAGUGAAGGAUCAUAUUAGGCAGUCUAGUUCUACAAUCCAUUUCCUCAUCUUGGUUAACAGUGAUGCCUAGAACUAGAACAUGAGAAAGAAAGGCGGUCAAAAUCCAGAGGGUCUUCUUAGCAACUGAAAAGACGCAAGUUGGCAAGUUGGUAUCGAUCAUGGUGUAUUGGAAACGGCUUCUCGGAGGAUUGAAUGCUAAUAGAUCCUAAUCUAUCUUAAGGAUCUGUUUUGGUUGUUUCUUGCUUGCCCAUGGAUUCGGCAGCAGAUUGGACGGUUGACUUAUUCGGGACAAUCUUCUAAAAAUUAAGGAAUCCGGUAGUCUACAUUCCUAAACGCAGUAUCAAGAAGAUCAAUUAUAGACCUUUGGGCAUUUGAGGUUGUGUCCAGUGGUGGAAGGGACUUAGUUUCUUUUCUCUGCACCAGGGUUCAAGCUUUACUGCGCACGCCUGUCAUCCUUGCGGGGCUUUACAUGCUCACUGGGCUUGCAGGAUAUUCAUUGAAUCCAGGGAUUAGUUGUGGUGCGUAUAAGCUGGCCUGGACACUAUAUAUAUAUAUAUAUAUAUAUAUAUAUAUAUAUAUAUAAAUAAAGUAUAGGCCUUUGGGCAUAUAGCCUUAAAUAGAUGGGUAAAAAGGGUAAGCUUGCAAGUCUUUAGGGUAGUAAUACUCGGCCGAUUGCAUGACACUUUUACAACCUGCUAUUAUUUUGCUGAUUGCUCUCUACUUCCAUUGCAGUUGGGCCAUUGAAACUAUCAAAUUAAAGCCACCAACUAGGCUGCGUUUGUUUUA